rnacentral:lncRNA from 1 species
ACUAGGCGUAAGUUUUCGUCCGCGGGCUACCUGCCUGCGUGAUUUCGCGACGUCUCAUGCUAUCGACGAUAACAUACCUAAGCGGUGCAAGCGCGGAGAGCCACGGAGAGAGGCCCCCCUUCAAAAUCGAUACCCUCGGCUCCUCCUCGAAGCUGUCUCGCCUCGCGUGCUUGCGUAGCCGAGCACGUGACCGGCCACGGAUGUGCAGAUGAAAGAACGGAUGUGGAUCUGCGAGAUGCCGGGCGAUUCGGAGCCACGCCAUAAAGAUUCCAUCCCGAUACAUCGCCGAACAUCAUUGUCGAUUCAUUCAUAAUGAACGCCUGUUCUGAGAUCAUUACGGACGCCCGAUUAUACAUUCGAGUCAUUUAAAUGCAGCGGUUUCCUCUUGAUAGACCCAAUGACCUGAGAGAGAGAGAGAGAGAGAGAAAGAUAGAGACAUCUCGACCUUGUCUACCAAAUAAGGCCCCGCAUCAAGGUCCUCGUGAUCUGGAUUUACGUUAAGGAUUUUCACUUGUGAGAGCGAGGGAACUGAUGGCGCGUGCGAAAAAAGGUCGAGCCUUCAGGUAGUUCUUUACCCUUCUUCGAGGAACUCAAAGUUAACACUGGUAUCAUCUGCAUGUGGCGUAAGCAAAAUGCGACGAUGCACGUAUCCGUUUCUAUGCAAAAGUUAAAAAAAAAAAUGUGUAUAAAGGAAAGAGCGCGCGCACAUAAAGGGAUAAAUAUAAGUUAAACGAAAGUUAUAAACAAUUUAACGAGGAGUUUCGUUAUUAAAGCAAAUUUUAGAAACGUCGUUGAGCGUACAUGCAUAAUGCAACAUAAGCUUAAUGUGAUUCUUGGACGAUGCCGUCUACCCGAUACUAUCGUAACAGUACCGUCGUACACUCGGUUGACGCCAUCGUUCGCCAAGCGAGGAAUCUCGACUGUGCUCAAUAAUACUCGAUACUGCUAUAUUUAAUGCUGACUUAUUUCAUUUAUAAAAUGAAAGAAUCUGAUAUGUAUCUCGGCGACUAAAUAAUCAUCACAUCGUUUUGAUCGCUUUAUUGUACGCGGCGUCGUGACAAAAUUUACUCCAAUACAGGAUGUUCCUAAUGUGUGCGAAAAAUGUUGGGGGAUUAUUUAGCGAAAGGUGAGAUUUUAAGAAAUAUA